UUUCACUUUUAUGCUAGCCUGGUUUUGUUCAGUUAUGGCCAGUUUUAUGUUAAAAAUUCCACCCUGUCACCCUACCAGCAAAAAAACAAAAUACCUGCUGGUGUCAUCAGGCAUCAAGGCAGGAUACACCCUGGACAGAGUGCCAACCCAUCACAGGGCACACACACACACUCAUUCAAUCACACACUACAGGCAAUUUAGAGGCUCCAAUCAGGCUAGUAGCAUGUCUUUGGACUGUGGAAGAAACUCACCAAGCACAGGGAGAGCAUGCAAACUCCACACAUACAGUGAGCGGGAGCAAGACUCGAACCCAGGAUGCUGAAGGUGUGAGGCAAACGAACUAGCCACCAAGUGUAUGGGCUACAGCAGCAGAAGACAACAUUGUGUCCUCCCCUGUCAGCCAAAAGCAAGAAACUGAGGCUUGUCAUGUGCACAGACUGGACUGAUGAAGACUGGAAAAAGUCUGGUUUCUCAAGACAAACUGCACAGCGAUGUCCAGCCUGUCUACAAUAGAAACACAGCUCUAGUCACAGACAAUGCAGAUGAUCCUCAGCAGAGAUGCCUUGCCAAGUUGCAUUGGUUCCAGCAUAGGAGGGGAUUCUAGAGUGAUGCGGGAAAUGGCAGAACCUGAUAACUGGGAUGCCAGCUCUGCAUGAGGUAAUCUAGACAGGUGGUCAGUGUAAUGUACUGUGACAGGGUAGUGUCCUCGUCAUGGUAGGCCAUUUCAGCUUGAAAAGCUGGGUUGCAGUGCAUUACUGGUGAGCAGCAACAUGUAUGUGUCGGGCUGAUGUGAGAAGAAAAUGUCACAGUGACUGAGUAACCCACAUCCGACCAACCUGCAGCAGUAUCGCCCAUCUCAGGUCCAGGUACUCCCGCAUGGUGGACAUGUAGGCGAGCUGCCCACUCCAGCCAGCCCACACAUCAGCCAUCCACUCAAACAGUUCCAGGAAGCCUUUGGUAGUGUCCUGCCACCAAGAUUGCUGCUGGAGUAACUUCAGAGCAGCUCGCUGUCUGCUGAAUGGGCCUGGAGUAGGGCCUAGAAGCUCUGCUCCUGCUCCAUCACAGCUACAGGAGCACAUGAUGUUGUGACUGGUGGAUUCUGUUGAGGGUCUUCACUAUCUUGGCCAGUGGUGAGGACUCCAUGACUGCUAUUUUCUCCACUUAUCCCAGGUUUCAUCACCAGUGUAACGUUUGCAGGUGAAAAGUCAGGCAGGAUGAACUCAAAGUAAAGUCCACUUUUUAAAAAUUUAAAUGUCCUGGAGAAAUGUUUAUUCACUAAAAAGGGUAUACAGGUGUUGUCAAUGACAUGAGUUAUGGUUUCAGACAUCACAGUCAAACUUAUGACCACACAAAACAAUCCAACAUGGAUCUAAAGCUCUUGACAGUACUGUAGUAAAGCCAUGUUUUUUUCUGUUGUAAAGUAUCCUGAAAAUUUUCAUGUCGCGUUAACAUUGUCAAUCCAAUGUGAAUGAAUGGCGUGAUGGCACAAGAUAUUAUUGUACCAUAAAUCUUUUCCGCAUGCUGAAAGUUGUGAGCCAAGCUGUGCAGCAUGUUUAGCAUGCUUUGUUCUAUGUAUUUAAAUGUUUGUAUUAUUUACCUUAUCAUUUACUAUAUUGUCACUGGUUGUUGCCCUAAUAUGUCAUGAUUAGUCUCACCUGUUUUGAGAUUUCCCUUUGAUUAGUUUGAAUUUAAACCCUUUGUCUUGUAUCUGGCACAAUGAAUUUGUACAGUUUCUUUU